rnacentral:lncRNA from 1 species
CUAGGUUGACAUCUGAAAGGACAACCUAGGCAAAAAUGGAUAUCCCUGUGGAACAAAAAAAAAGUCCAGGCAAAAUCUAGGGAUCAAAUUAAAAAUGAUAAUAAGCCCGCUAAGUCGAAAACCUGAAAAGGAAAUUUAGGCAAACAAAAUGGGUAUUCCGGUGGAUGAAAAAAAAUGAAAUAUGUCCAAGCAAAAGUUAGGGAUAAAUACAUUUGCUUGCAUUUUGAGCCCACU